GGGGCUGAUUCUGGAUUCGACGGGAUUUGCGAAACCCAAGGUGCAUGCCGAGGGGCGGUUGGCCUCGUAAAAAGCCGCAAAAAAAUAGUCGCAAACGACGAAACCUACGCUUUAGCAGCUUAAUAACCUGCUUAGAGCCCUCUCUCCCUAGCCUCCGCUCUUAGGACGGGGAUCAAGAGAGGUCAAACCCAAAAGAGAUCGCGUGGAUGCCCUGCCUGGGGUUGAAGCGUUAAAACGAAUCAGGCUAGUCUGGUAGUGGCGUGUCCGUCCGCAGGUGCCAGGCGAAUGUAAAGACUGACUAAGCAUGUAGUACCGAGGAUGUAGGAAUUUCGGACGCGGGUUCAACUCCCGCCAGCUCCACC
rnacentral:tmRNA from 11 species